UACGUAGGGGGCAAGCGUUGUUCGGAAUUACUGGGCGUAAAGGGCGCGUAGGCGGCACGGCAAGUCAGGAGUGAAAGGCCUGGGCUCAACCGAGGAACUGCUUUUGAGACUGCCGAGCUAGAGUGCAGAAGGGGCAACUGGAAUUCCCAGUGUAGCGGUGAAAUGCGUAGAUAUCUGGAGGAACACCGGUGGCGAAGGCGGCGUCCUGGACCAAUACUGACACUGAUGAGCGAAAGCCAGGGGAGCAAACGGG
rnacentral:rRNA from 1 species